GUGGCAGGACGUGCAGGGGUGGAGGUAGGACGGGGGGUGCGAGGGUGUGUAGGAGUUAGGGGGGGUACAGUGUGUGUGGGUUGGCGGUGAAGUCGUAUGGGAAAGCGCUAGGCUCAACGCAGGAAGGGACCCUGAUAGUGCGGUGCUAGAGUACCGGAGAGGUUGGUGGAAUUCGCGGUGUAGAGGGGAAAUUCGGAUAUAGCGCGAGGAACACCUGUGGCGAAGGCGGCCAACUGGACGAGUACUGACGCUGAGACACGAAAGCGUGGGGAGCAAACAGGAUUAGAUACCCCGGUAGUC
rnacentral:rRNA from 1 species